UGUUUACAAAACAGUAGGAAGUCAAAUAAGGAAUGCCAAGCUGUAUCACUGCUGGUAACAGUUUCCAAGUCUCCAGCUUUGGAUGCUUCUAGAAGCCUGUAGUCAACAUCAGAUGUGCGUACAGGUGUACUUUCUGCAUAAGAGAAGGUUUAUUGUUACUUUUUAAGAUACUGCAAAGUCAUUAAGGAGGGAGGACUAUUUGUGUGUUUCAGAUUUAAGAUUGCUCUAUCCUAUGAUCAGAGAUACCUUUUAAAGCUCGCUGUUCAAGUGAGAAAAUCAAGCGAUGCCACGAAGAGGUUUUACAUUUCAG